rnacentral:rRNA from 1 species
GGGGAAUAUUGGACAAUGGGCGAAAGCCUGAUCCAGCCAUGCCGCGUGAGUGAUGAAGGCCUUAGGGUUGUAAAGCUCUUUCAGUGGGGAAGAUAAUGACGGUACCCACAGAAGAAGCCCCGGCUAACUUCGUGCCAGCAGCCGCGGUAAUACGAAGGGGGCUAGCGUUGUUCGGAUUUACUGGGCGUAAAGCGCACGUAGGCGGAUCAUUAAGUCAGGGGUGAAAUCCUGGAGCUCAACUCCAGAACUGCCUUUGAUACUGGUGAUCUUGAGUCCGGAAGAGGUGAGUGGAACUCCUAGUGUAGAGGUGGAAUUCGUAGAUAUUAGGAAGAACACCAGUGGCGAAGGCGGCUCACUGGUCCGGCACUGACGCUGAGGUGCGAAAGCGUGGGGAGCAAAC